AAACUCUGGUAACAGUGCUCCCAGGGCGAGGCUCGUCCAUUUCACUGCGGCAGUGCUAACCCCUGCGACUUCCCCAUAUGGGGGAAACUCGACUGCAGAAUGUGUGGUAGUGGGGACGGUGUGCUCGCUCUCCCCU
ensembl:snRNA U1 U1 spliceosomal RNA